GAUUCGUCGUGCCACCGUUCCGGAUCGAUGAGAACCGCUGCACACACUGCGACGCUCGACGGUUUAUUUAACGCUGCCGCUAACGAGCUGUCAAACCGAGUUCUCUGGACCUUCGAAUGGCAACUGUGAAGACACUCGUUCAACUUCCGAACCAGAGGUUUUUCCAACUAAAUUCCACAGUUAACUAGUCAAGAGAAUGUUUCUUGUAAUUCGGCACUUCUCAAUUUUCUUUGAUUCACAUCGAAUUACACAGAAUACCUGUGUAAACUUACACCGAGUGAAUGUCUCGGAUUAGACGGGAUGAUCCAACAGUAUUAGCCGCCGCAACCAGACACGAGCGCGCGGUAAAUGAAAGUACCCAGCUUUCUUCCUGCAAUUUUGUUGGUUGCACAACGCAGGAUCACGUGUCGCCGCUCGAAAGUCGAAGAAUAAUCCGUGUUCGGUGAGGAAGAGCUGCCAUUAGGAUUUACAUAAGCUUACCAGCAACGGUGCGCCGCUGUUACGCUAUUGCGAACGCUUCGGUGGAGCAGUAACAAUAGCCGGAAUCCUGUGUAGGAGCAACCAACGAGAAUCUUCGUCCAAAGGGUUAAUGGAAAGAAAGAAGGAAGAAAGAAAGAGAAUUUCUUCGUCCUUGGACGUCAGAGUUGAUUCGAGGAAAAGAAAUAAAUUAAACAGCUUCGACGACUGAAAAUUGUUUGACUCUCGCUACUUGAUUUCAUACAGUGGAACUAUAAAAUUUGAUAUUUAACCGUUUGAGUGCUGAUGAGCGCUAUAGCGCUCUUGUGUUGCGUCAAAAUGGCGGAGAGCGUGCAGGCGCUUUUGUUUAUCAGUGUCAAUUGUAAUUUUCUUACUAUAUUCUUCAAGAAUCACUUCCGCAUUUUUGGUAAAUAUUCACAGAAGUUGUUUAGCAUCCAAACGAUUAAUAUUAUACCUUGUAACACAUCAAUUUAAACAAUAUUGAAAUAAAAUAGCUUCGUUGCUCAAUGUACGUACAACUUCUCUCCGAGUUAGUUCCACGGAAUAUCGUCUUUACCUCAUCAGAAAAUGUUUAAAUAUUUCUAACGAAGAAUUCCCGAAUACAAAGGGUCAAUUGUUUAUUACUCGUUGCACAAA